ensembl:snRNA U4 U4 spliceosomal RNA
AGUUUUGCACAGUGGCAGUAUCGUAGGCAAUGAGGUUUAUCCGAGGCACGAUUAUUGUUAAUUAUUGCCAUACCUGAUAUGCAGAAAACUCCCCUCUCCUCCAAAGAGAUCUAUGUUAUAAUUCCUGGAACCUAUGAAUAUGU